rnacentral:rRNA from 1 species
GACAGAGGGUGCAAACGUUGCUCGGAUUUACUGGGCGUAAAGGGCGCGUAGGCGGUCGUGACAAGUCACUUGUGAAAUCUCCGGGCUUAACUCGGAACGGUCAAGUGAUACUGUCGGACUAGAGUACAGAAGGGGCAACUGGAAUUCUCGGUGUAGCGGUGAAAUUCGUAGAUAUUCGGAAGAACACCAGUGGCGAAGGCGACUCACUGGACAUGUAUUGACGCUGAGGUACGAAAGCGUGGGGAGCAAACAGG